UGUGCUCCCACUCCUCGGAUGGGGCCUGGGAAGAAACCCGCGGCCCCUUGGGGAGGCUGAAGUUGUUUCCACGCCCCUCGGGUGGCCAGAAGCCCGAAAGAGGCCUGGCCGCCGUAACGGGCUCGUCUCCAAAGGCCGGACAGGCUCCAGGCUGACUUCGAUGGGGCGGGUGGCCGUUACCCCUCCCCCGGCCGGCCCUCCUCCUUCUCCUCCGGCUACAGCAAGUCGCAGGCGCUGCAGGCGCUGCUGCUGCCCGAGCUCAGCAGGCUUCUGAGGAAUUUCCCUUCCAGUGCAGCGCACCAAUCGGCCUUUCUUCGGUCUAAGCGAGGGAGGGGGCGUGGGACUCUUGUGCAUGGGGGGUCCGUAGGACGGAACCGCCGGCGCGCCGAACGAUGGCUCAGCCGCUGCUCAGAAAGACUUUCUCCCGGCUGAGGGGCAAGGAGCGCCUCGAGCGAAACAAGGCGGCGCAGCGCAAAGAGCCAGAUUCUCCUUCCGAGGCAUCAGGUGUUUUGAAGUCCUCCCUAGAGGCUGGGCCUCUCCCACUGGACGAUGGAUGCAGGAAAGGUGCUACCAUCACAGUGUCAAGAAAGCAAACCUGGGCCAAGUUCACUUGGAGUGGCCAGGAGGAUUCUCGUAAUCGGAAACUGAGCCAGAGUUCCUCAAGUGCUCCACAGACUGACCUGGAUGAAGGGCUGUCCCCAGAGAGCCUUCCUUGCAUUGGCUUGGUGGGAACUGGGCCUAAGGAAACCACUGGAUCAUUGGCCAACUACAUAGAGACCUGUGACUCAAGCAUCAGUGCCAAGGGCAGCACCCAGGGUGCCUACCUGCAGAGCCUGGAGAGAAGCAGCCGCCAUUGGGUGCUCUCCUCAGGGAAAACCCAGGGGGCAGAAGCGCCAACUGCCAGCUCCAGCACUGAGCUGAAGGAAUCCAGUGUGCUCUGCAGCAGCGAAGGGGAGAUCUGGUACAACCCUAUCCCCGAGGAUGAAGACCUGCAGCUCCCCAACCUUGAAAAGAAGUGGGGCAGCAAUGCUGAGAAUAGGACUUGGAAGGGUAAGCCAAGGGAGGCUAAAGCCACAGGCAAAUGCAUUCACCUUGGUAGCUUGCAGAAGACAGGCAGUGAUGGUCUGCGGACUCUACCGAGCCAUGCAAGGCCAGUUAAGCAAGCUGAGGAGCUGAGCAGCCACCAGUCCCAGGGCUCUGGAAAAGUUGCAGCUGCAAGCAUGGAACCUGAGGGCAGGGCAAUGGGCACUGCAUUGAUGGCUCAGAGUCCCAAUGUCCACAAGAAGGGCCACACUCUCUCCAAGGCAAAGUCCCCAGGCCCAGUGCGAAGUCUCUCCAUGAAGAUGAAGAAGCUGCCAGAGCUGAGGCGGAAGCUGAGCUUGCGCAGCUCCCGCCCCCGAGGGCCAGAGCCAGAAGGUGGCUCCUCCCCCAAAGAGUCAAGCAAUGUCAUCAGCCGCUACCACCUCGACAGCAGCGUGGCUUCUCGGCAGUCCUUGUCCCGGGGCAAGGCUGCCAGCAAAGGGGGCUACCUGAGCGAUGGUGACUCUCCUGAGCUUCUGGCCAAGCCUGAGGCCUUUGUGGGGCUCAUGGGUGGCUCCUUCCGGCCAUACAGUUUUGCUGAGCAGGCCAGCUAUGUGCAGCAUCUGUCUGGCCUUGUCAGUAUCCAUCUGCUGGGAGUGCAGGACUUUAGGCCUCUGAAAGCCAAAGUGAAGGAGGUCUUCUGCGUCCUCCAAGUAGACUCUGUCAAUAAGGCCCGCACAGCCCUGCUGCCUUGCCAAGCAGCCUUCCUCAAUCUGAACCAUUCGUUCCAGCUGGAGCUUGAAGAUGCCCAACUCCUCAAAGUCGUGGUCUUCUCAUGUGACCCUGCAGUGGGCAAGAAUCGAGUCUGCUGCCAUGGCACCCUCAUUCUGCCCCAUGUUUUUCAAGGUUGCCAGAGCCAACAGCUUGCUAUGCAGCUGGAGCCACAGGGGCUCCUGUACAUCAAACUCACCCUGGUGGACCAGUGGGAUCUAGCCAACAGUGACCAGGAGCCACAAGUCUUUGGAGUGAAACUGAGUCAGCUGGUGGAGAGGGAAGGUGCCACCAUCAAAGUUCCAUUGCUGAUCCAGAAGUGUGUUGCCCAGAUUGAGAAACGAGGACUGAAGGUUGUUGGUCUGUAUCGCUUGUGUGGCUCUGCAGCAGUGAAGAAGGAGUUGCGUGAUGCCUUUGAGAGGGACAGUGCUGAUGUGGUACUCUCUGAAGACCUCUACCCAGACAUCAAUGCCAUUACAGGGAUCCUGAAGGACUAUUUGCGUGAGCUACCCACACCCCUCAUCACUCACCCACUCUACCAGGUGGUACUGGAAGCCAUGUCCCAUCGGGCCAUGGGGCUCGAGGAGAAGGAGGCAACCACAGCUCUUCUGGACUGUCUGCCCGAGGCUGAGAAGGCCACCCUGACGAUGCUGCUGGAUCACCUCAGCCUGGUGGCUGCUUCCCACACCUUCAACCGCAUGAACGCCCAGAACCUUGCUGUAUGCUUUGGGCCCGUGUUGCUGAGCCAGGGGGCAGGGGGACCAGGGGACCGUGGGCCCAGCAAACAGCACCGCACCAUCGCCAGCACCAUGGACUUCAAGCACCACAUUGAAGUGUUGCAUUAUCUGCUACAGGCCUGGCCAGCCCCACACAGGAUGACAGGAGAGGAAGAGUGUCCCCUGCCCAGCAGGCCAGCCCCACACCAGUGCCGCCCUCCUUUGAAUCUGCCACUACUGCAAACCACUGUUGUGGCCCGGAGCCGCCCACGAGGGCUGGAAAGCCCUCCCAGCAAUCGCUAUGCCGGAGACUGGAGUGUGUGUGGGCAGCAGUUCCUGGUGGGGCCCAGGUCAGGCGGUGACACUGACUAUGACAAAGUGGCUGGGAGUGAGAGUGACAAUGAGGAGGAGAACGAAGACGUGGCUCCGAGGGAUGAACUGUCGCAUCACAGCCAUGCUGUCUUCAUGGGUGACUUUGCCUUGGUGGAGGAUCCUGAGGCUCCCUUCAGUGCAAGGCUUAAUCUGAAGGACUUUGACGCCCUCAUCUUGGACCUAGAGCGAGAGCUCUCCAAGCAAAUCAAUGUCUGCCUGUGAGCCAUUCUCUUGGGACAUAAGCACACUGUAAGCCCUACGGGGGGGGGGGUCUCUGCAGUACCCUCCUGUCACUCAAGCUAUAGCUAAAGCAAAGCUCAGUCAGUUGGCCCUGCCUCUUUAUCACUAUUCUUUCUGAUCACAGACCUUUGAACCAAGUGGGGAGUCUCUCUCUCUCUCUCUCUCUCUGUUUUAAACGUCUUUGGCCAGUGGUGAGGAGCUAGAAUGCUCUCUUGCUGACUGGCUGUCAGGGCACAGUUGCUGAGGACUUUUAACCUCCUGGAUUUCCUCCAUGGACUGGGAUCAUGAGGAAGGGCCUGGGUCCCAGGCUACCUUUCUUAUUCUUAUACAUUAAUGGUUCCAAGGAAGAGAGAGGAGCUGAUCAAGGUUUUAUUUUCUUUGCUUGUAAUAUUGCUUUGUAAUAUUGAAUGAGUAGUAUUUAUGUAGCCCAUUUUCCUAGACAUUCAGAGCACUUACAGCAACCCUUGAAGGUAUAGGUCAGUAUUAUUAUCCUCUCUUAUUAUAGAUGGGAGCCAGGAUUGUGAAACUGUUUCUUGUCUAGGGCUGGGCUACUCUGCGAGUUCAUGAUUUAGCUCAGGGCUGGCUUGAGGUUUGACGAAGCCCUUGGCAAAGUGCCCUGACAGUGGCAGUGCUCUGAUCAGUGCCAGGUAGCUGGUAGCUACUGUCUUUCCCACAAUGCCCCUGAAGUAGCACCAGGGUGAGGUUUUUGUGGGAAAUUAAAAUGGGAGCUGUAAUUCAGCCCGGCCUCAUUGGAGCAUUGGAAACAUUUUUAAAGGGGAAGAGGAGAAAAGGCAGGCAACAAAGGUGGGCCUUGCCCGCUGCCGUGCUGGUGCUAGGCCCACCAGUGCUACUCAGCCUUUGGUUUCUAAAAUGGCUGAUUUUCCUUUGACUGGUGCAGUUGGCUUCAUCUUCUUCCUGUCUGAAGAAUACUGUGAAAGGCCAAAUCUGAAACUCCAAAGUUGGCAGUCUUUGAGCAAAGCAGGGAAGCCUACACCUGCCUAGUUCCUCUCUGCCUUGGAGACCUGAAAAGAUGCAAGAGCUGGGAUCUCCGGGGCAAGGGACCAAGUUCUUUCUCUAGCGCCUGGCAAUCCAAGCAAUCCCAUCUGUGACAGGGACUUCCUCUCUUUCGCCUUUUAGUUCUGCAUUGCCGUGCAAGCAAAGAUUCCUCCUCUGCUGCAAAGGACAGGAACACAAACCUUUCUGCAGCACCACUGUGGGUUCAUUAAUACUCAAGCCCCUGAUUCUAGUCAUUCUGUGAAAAUGCUGCCCCCUUUUCUGGGGUGUGACUUGCUGAUUAGUGUAUCUGCUGCUAAAGAGAAUGUGUGAAAAGGAAAACGGUGCCCUCUCAAAAAGAAUAAAAUAAACCACAGUGCCCACCACAUAUGAAGAGCCCCGUAGCUGCAUCAGGCCAGUGGCCCAUCUAGUCCAGCAUCCUCUUCUCAUAGUGGACAGCCAGAUGCCCCAAAGGGAAGUCUGCAAGCAGGACCUGAGCCCAAGAGCACUCUCCCCACUAGAGACUCAGCAAUUGGCAUACAGAGGCAUGCUGUGUCCACUAGUGGAGGCAACAUGAUAGCCUUACCUUCCAUGACUUUGUUUAAUCCACUUUUAAAGCCAUCCAAGUUGUUGGCCAUCACUAUAUUCCAUGGCAGCAAGCAAAUUCCACACUGUUAAAGAGGCAGCUCGAUAGCCAGCUGUCAGGUGUGCUUUAAGUUUGAUUCCUGGAUUGAGCAGGGGGUUGGACUCUAUGGCGUUAUAGGCCCCUUCCAACUCUACUACUCUAUGAAAGUACUUCCUUUUGUCUUCCGACAUUCAACUUCAUUGGAUGGCUCUAAGUUCUAGUAUUAUGAGCAAGGGAUAAAAAGUUCUCCCUAUCCACUUUCCACUCCAGUCCAUGCAUAAGCUUAUACACAGUGGAGGCUGGUGGUUCUGAUGUCAGUGGGGCAUUGAAUCCACUCCAGGUUUUAGUCUGGACUUUCAAGGAACUGUCCAUGGUCCCCCCCUUACUUGCCUUUCCUCACAGGGAAAUUUAUUUAGCCCUUUGCUUAUCCUUAUCUGAACCUUUCCCAUCUCUUAAAAUCUGCUUUUUGAGGUGCAGUGACCAGAGUUGUAUUCCAAAUGCAGUUGCACCGUAGAUUUCUAUAACAGCAUUAUGAUAUUGACAGUAUUAUUUUCAGUCCAUUUCCUAAUGAUCCCCAAGAUGGCUCAACAUUUUCAUUGAGCUAGCCACAAGAACUCCAAGGUCUCAUUCCUGGUCAGCCACUACCUGUUCAACUCCCAUAAGCAUAUACGUGAAAUUAAUCAAAUUUAUUCAAUUUUUGAAAUGCCUAUUCUGUGACAUUUAGGUUGAAUUUCAAAACAACAAAACAGGGCAAUGUACUGAUAAGUACAGCCAGUGUUAGGAGCAAAUACUCCCCACCCUUGCGGCCAGGAUGCUUCAUAUGGCAAGGCUAUCCGCCAUCCUAGCCCUUCCUGGCUUUGGCUACAACAGGGAUGACAGAAGAGGACUGAGGAUGCUGCCUUUUCAUUUUUUUUUCUUUGCCUACUCAAAGCAGAGAUAAGUUCUUAGUAAUCAGGAGGGCUCAACUUCAUGUUACAGUAAUGACAGCAUAACGGGUCAUUUUGGAUAUGACAAGCUGCUUCCAGAAGUGGCAGCUGGAAGAGGGAAAAGGGUUAACUGUUUGCCUACCUGCUGUUUUGCUGCUCCAGAUCUGUUGUGGGGUGUAGUGUAGAGUACUGUUCUGAAUACAAAACAGACCAUGUGUAACAUGGAGUUUGAUGUAUAACAUGGAGUUUGGGUCUGUCUCUCCAUGAGCACAGUUCAGCUUUUGAUGAUCCCAGUUUUUUGGCACAGAAUAGUUGUCUAACCCCUCCUUUUUUAAGAAGGAAUUCCUCCAGGUGAGGAAUGGCAACUUCCUGCAACUUGACUAGGCCGAGAAACUCUCCCUAAAGACCUGGCUAAACAUUUUAUCAUUCAAGUGGGACAAGCAUGUUAUGACUGAAGUAGCGCCAACCUGUGCCUCCUCCCGGCUUGCUGUAAGUCACAUUACAGUUGGUGUCUCCCCAUCCUUUAGAAGCAGCAACCAAAGAAUUACAGCUGGAUGUGAUAGUGCAUCAUGUGCUCCUUUUACCAAAUUUUAACAGAAGAGAUGUGCCAGCAGCAACCCUUUGUCUUCUGUAAUAUGCAGUCAGGUGCCCUUGGCAUGUUGCCAGGUCAUAAUUGAGUCAAGAAACCCCAGUUCCCACUUUACAAGCCAGAGCACGGUGGGAGAAGGUUAUCUCCCCAACCCUGUGGGAGUGUUUCCAUUUCCAAUGUUUCUCUAACUCUGCAUUUGCACUGCAAUUUUUCAGCUGGCAUUUUCGGUGAUAGGAGACUGUGUUUGAAGACCUUGGAGCAUAUAGGCAUAGCUAGCCUAAUGAAGAAGUGCGGUACGGAAGAUGUGGACCUUUAAAAAAAUUAUUUGUAUGUCCUUAUGACAAUUAAAAUUUCUGUGAACAUACAAGCCUGAAUGUUGCCGCCUAUGUGAGUGUAAGAGAAUGCACAUUUUUAUUUGCAGGUACAGAUGACCUAUUUUGGGGGCUUGGUCCUGUUUUCCCUUAUGGUCAUUUCCCACCAUUCCAGAACUAGGUUUAACUAAACACAUUAUCUCAUUGUAUGGCAUUGGCAUAGAGAGGAAGAAUUGCACUAAAAUAAACAGUAAAAUAUUUCUGUUUAUCACAUAGCCUCCCAAUAUAUGUUUUUCUGGACUAUUGUGGAAGCAUCAUCAGCAAUGUAGUCAAUGGACACAAGUGAGAGAGGAGUAAGGUUUUCUGCACAGCUUUUUGGAGGGGGUGACCCCCCCCAUUCCCUCAUCUUCCUCAACCUCUUAGGCCUCAAAAGUACUUGGAACAAAUUGAGUCAGUGUAAUGGAAGUCUUGUGCAGACAGGCAAACAUGAAAAACUACAGGGGGAGGGGGCUUGCAAGCAUGGUUACUUUUCCUGCCCUGUCUCUGCAUCAGACCUUCAUGAAUUCAAGUUCCCAUCUGCUGAGAAACUUAUACACUCCAAUAUAUGCAGGCACCAAAGAGGUGUGCUGCUUAAUUUAGAGGCAGGAUGCGAGUGUAGUGUAGUAAUUUAGAGUCAGUAUGGUGUGGUGGUCAGAGCGUUGCGUUAGGACCUGGGAGACUUGGGUUCAAAUUGCCAUUGCCAGUCACAAUCUCUCAGCCUAACCUACCUCACAGAGUAAAAGGAAGAGGCGGGAGAAUCCUGUAUGCCACCUUGAGCUCUUUGGAAGAAUGGUGGCAUAUAAAUGUAGUAAUGAAAUACAUAUA